rnacentral:rRNA from 1 species
AUUGAACGCUGGCGGCAUGCCUAACACAUGCAAGUCGAACGGCAGCACAGCAGUAGCAAUACUGUGGGUGGCGAGUGGCGGACGGGUGAGGAAUACGUCGGAAUCUGCCCAGUCGUGGGGGAUAACUAGCCGAAAGGUUAGCUAAUACCGCAUACGACCGAGAGGUGAAAGCGGGGACCGCAAGGCCUCGCGCGAUUGGAUGAGCCGACGUCGGAUUAGCUAGUUGGCGGGGUAAAGGCCCACCAAGGCGACGAUCCGUAGCUGGUCUGAGAGGAUGAUCAGCCACACUGGAACUGAGACACGGUCCAGACUCCGUACGGGAGGCAGCAGGUGGGAAUAUUGGACAAGUGGGCGACAAGCCUGAUCCAGCAAUGCCGCGUGUGU